UUCUCUUCAGGCCAAAUGUGAAAACGAAACUUGUUAACAUCUGGAAUAGCGAACUACAAACUCAAGGGGAGUGGACAAGUACACACAAUCUGGAGUCAAAAGAAGAAUUUGCAUCAACAAAAACUCAAAAUUUCUUAGAUUCUGGGGCAAAAUGGAGGAACUACUGUCCAGAGACUGCAAGCGGGAGUGGAGCAGAGGAUCUUAAGAAUCAGGAUACCAUACUCAAUGUCACUUCUGGCAUCUUGCAUUUUGUUGGUGAUUCAUUGGUUCCUGAUACCAUUGAUAAAAACUGCCUGGAGGGUGCCAAAGUUCUCCAACAGGUUGAUAAGAAGUAUAUUCCGAUUGUGGCGGGCAAAACUCUUGCUAUAAUUGAUCAGGUCUAUUCUAAUCUUUGCAUAGUGCAUUGUGGCCGUUCUUGUUUUCUCGUGAAUUUCCUUUAUGCAUUUACUUUAAAGAUUGUUUCUCUUAGAGGUCACAUAAAAUUUGACAUAAAAAAUAUAAUCUUGUUUGCCUUGUAAGAAAUAUAAUAUCAGUAUAACUAAUGCAGCGUUUGAUUGGUGGUAUUAAACUUUACAUUAUUAAUGCCCUCAUAAUUUAUGCAAUAACCUAUGCAUUGUUUUAUGCGGGCUAGAAUGUGAAAUAAGAUAACAUGUAUAAGCAGUGGAUGGAUAAGAGUAUUUGAAAAUGUUGGUUUAUGUUUAGUUAACAAUGACAUGCUGAAAAUGUUGGUUUAUG